rnacentral:rRNA from 1 species
CAAUAGCGUAUAUUAAAGUUGUUGCAGUUAAAAAGCUCGUAGUUGAAUUUCUGGCUGCAAGGAGCCGUCCGUUCCUUACGGGAUGUGUACGUGUUUCGUUUGUGGCCAUCUUUCUGGGGAACGAUUAUGUCCUUGAUUGGGCGUGUCGGUACUCAGGACUUUUACUUUGAGGAAAUUAGAGUGUUUAAAGCAGGCCAUUGUGCUUUGAAUACGCUAGCAUGGAAUAAUAAGAUAAGACUUCGGUGUUGUUUUGUUGGUUUUGGAUACUGAAGUAACGAUUAAUAGGGAUAGUUGGGGGCAUUCGUAUUUGAUGGUCAGAGGUGAAAUUCUUGGAUUCAUCAAAGACGGACUACUGCGAAAGCAUUUGCCAAGGAUGUUUUCAUUAAUCAAGAACGAAAGUUAGGGGAUCGAAGACGAUCAGAUACCAU